rnacentral:miRNA from 1 species
AAGGCAGAGUAGCACUUCUGCCUGUCCAGUGCGUUUCCCUGCGCAUAAAGCACAGUUUCUUGCACUGGACAGGCAGAAGUGCUACUCUGCCUU